rnacentral:lncRNA from 1 species
GCAGCUGCUCCCUGACCUCCAUCAGCACUUGAGUUUUCGAUGUGUUGAGUGGGGCGUAGCUAUGGAAUCUUCCCGGGGGAGAGUUCUGCCUUACUCUGUGGUCCGGGCUUCUCUGCCUACUAGCCCGGGGAGGAGUCUGGACAUGCUUGUGUCCGGAGGGAGUUCGAGAAUGUGGCUGAGCUUCACUCGACUCUUUUUCAACUGUGGGCUUGCUGCAGUCCCCCGUCGGUCGCUCCUUCAUGGCCUCCUCGUCCUUCAUCUUGAAGGCUUCUUCUGCUCGGGCAUAUGCUUCAACCUGAGCCAGCAAAUCAGCAAAGUCCCUGGGAUAUUUUUUUUCUAGGAAAAAUAGAAGA